UACGUAGGGGGCAAGCGCUGUUCGGAAUUACUGGGCGUAAAGGGCGCGUAGGCGGCACGGCAAGUCGGGAGUGAAAGCCCGGGGCUCAACCCCGGAACGUCUUUCGAAACUGCCGAGCUAGAGUGCGGAAGGGGCAACUGGAAUUCCCAGUGUAGCGGUGAAAUGCGUAGAUAUUGGGAAGAACACCUGAGGCGAAGGCGGGUUGCUGGGCCGACACUGACGCUGAGGCGCGAAAGCCAGGGGAGCGAACGGG
rnacentral:rRNA from 1 species